GCCUCCAGACAGCCUCCUGCUUCCACCCUGGCUCCCUGCAGUCCGUUCUCAGUGUAACAGAUGGAGCGAUCCUGUUAAAAAAUCAGAAGACGACGACAAAUCACGUCAUUAUCUCACAGGUGGAGGAAGUGGCCAGGCGUCCAGAAAAUGACCUCUAGAAGAUGGAAAGAGUAAGGAAAUUGAUUCUCUAGAGUCUCCAGAAGGAAGACAGCCCUGACAGCACCUUGAGUUUCGCUUAGUGAGACCCAUUUCUGACUUCGGACCUCCAGAACUGUGAGAUAGUAAACAUGUGUGAUUGUAAA